rnacentral:lncRNA from 1 species
ACCUGAUUAAUAUGUAUUGCCACGAGGCCUCUGUCGCUAUCCAAGGUGCUGGCCACCUUACCUUGGUGGUUCCAGCCAACCUUCCUUACCAGGGCUAGAGUGUGAUCCUCUCUCUGCUCCCAGUGCUGUGAUGCUAUCUGCUCAUUUAACCUCUAUAUUACUAGGGUCUGCUACACCACAGGCUGCUGAUAUUAAGCUUAUGCGUUAAUACAAGGCCUCAGUUGCUUAUUUGCACCUCUGGGGUCAGUAUCUGCAGCCAGAUCGAGUUUCUCUGUCCCAGUUCUGACCUGGAAGGUAAGCCCUCUGACCCAUUUCAGCCAAGGCACUCUCUCUUUCUGCUUCUUAUGUAAACUACAUGCCAAUCCUCACACCUGUCUCCACUUGGUUUGAGACAUGAUCCCAAUUCUCACUCCUGAGAAUGUCUAAGAAAUAGUUACACAAUUCUUUUUCUACUGGAGGAGGUCCUUUGCAUGGGAGAAAGUUCAGGUUAAAAGCACAUAAUUUAUUAAUAUAUUUCCUCAGACCUAAGUUUAUACCCUAGCUUUAUUAAUGACUAAAUAUGCAAACUUGGGCAAGCUACUAAUGCCUCCGAAUCUUAGCUUCCUCAUCUCUAACAUGGGAAUAAUAAUACAUGCCUCAUAGUGUUAUUAAUAAAAUGGAAGCUAAUGUGUUUAAAAUCACUUAGUUCAUAAGCUUUUAUUGUUUUUUUAAAAGGUAUUAAUAAAUAACAGUACAGCAGUAGUCUCAUCCAUUGUCCUAGUCUGAGCUGGCCUAUCUCUCUCAUUGUGGAACAUUUCCUACCUUCUCCUACUCUCUCCUGACAGCUGCUUUUGCUGCUAAUAAAUCCUGCCUGUGAUAUCACAAUGCAUUGUAGCAGCUGGCUCAGAGUCAAGACAUCAACACAUGAAUCAGACAGGAUGAGAGGAGGAUAAGGCUAAAGACAGAGGCUCCAGCUACCUUGGUGACAAGGAAUGGAGGAGAAAAGGAACAGGAAAUUUUAAUAAGAUUAGGAGGGCUUGCUUUUCUGCCAAGUGAGCCGCUUUCACAGGAGCGAUAAAUUGGAAAUGUUAUCUGGCUUGAUAUGCCAGUUUUUCUGAGAAAAUCACUCUGCCAGUGGUGACAGAAUGGAAGAGCUGAAAACAUCUUCUUUUUUCAAAGUCAUAUGUCACGAACCAAGGAGACUCCAAAAAAUAAAUUAUGGAAGAUUAUGACCACUGCUGCCAAGGAUACAGUGAAAUAGGCUGCAUUUGUAACCAAGCCGUGGUCCUUUUCAUUGCAUCUUGCCAGAAUGAAGAAGAGCUGAUCUCUCCAGUUCCUGUUAUUCCCCUUACAUUGCCCACAUUUAUUGCUCAAUAAACCACAGAAAUCCUUCUGUAACCCUCGUUCUUCUCCUCUCUUCCCCCUUUCACUAUUGAAUUUAAAACUCAUGCAUUAGGCAUGUGCUUUGUGAUAUUUGUGUCACCUCUCUAAACUGUAGUGCAAAAAAGAGGAAGAAAAGGCAUCUGCUCAAAUUGACAUUUCCAUCUCGGCUCACUCAUUUGAGAGUGACAGGCUAUAAUUUGCCAACAGGUUCACAUCCAAAUGCAUAGGUUAGUGCUGACAUCAGGUGAUUUUUCCACCAUUGCCAUCUCCAGCUCAUGCAUGCUACACAGGAGGCCACGCUUAAGUCAGCAGAUAUUGCAGGGAAAAGGAAGAGAAAAAAAGGAGAAAGCUCUUGAUUUCCCUAAGCCUCUUAAUGCACCAAACACAAUGAUAUACUUAGGUCUAUUUGGUGGAGCAGGUGGGUGGGUCAGAGCAUGCAUUGGAAUGCUGUGUGGGUUGAGAAAACUGGGUUUUCUCUUAUGUGCACUCAAUCUGUGCAAACACACUUACCCUUUGACUCUGUGAGUAAACAGACUUUUUAGCCAGGAAAACCAGGAUCAAUUCCUGGCUCUGAAGACCAAGACCGAGGUGAGAGAGGAAACAUAGUUCCCUCCUGCUUCCAGUGGUCUUUCCCUAUCCAGUUACGUGCCUCCACCAGCCACAACAAGGUCCACUUGCUAUUAGACUGGUGCAAUGAAUGGCAAAAAACACAAUUACUUUUGCACCAACCUAGUAACUUGUACAUUGUCUGGCCAAGAAGAGAACGUGUUUAUUACUUUCUUUUUCUUUCUGUUUCUUUUCUCCCUAUUGCUUCUUUCAUCCUCCUCCUUCCUUCUGGAUUCAAUUUUCUUCUUGCUGGGUUAUAGCCUUUAGAGGUUCUCUCAGCAAGCAUCUCUUUGGUAGUAAAUUCUCCUAGUCUUUUCAUGGUCUUUAAUAGAAUUUUUUGGGGUAAUUUUUGCCUGUGUGCUUGCUUUCAGCAGGAGUUGGUAUUAACAGCAGUCGUGCACGUGCCUAGGUUUAGGAGGACUCCUAUUGUCUGGUUUUAUGGUUGUCUCUGCAGAGGUUCCUCACUUCCUGGCUAGCUUUUACAUUAAUUCCGUGGCUCGAAGUUUCUACCCCGUGUCAGGAGGUACAACUCAGGCUCAUCUACUACAUACACCUCAUGCAGUUCCAGGGUUCUAAUAUUUUAUGAGUCACUACUUUCCAUCAGCGAUUCAGGCAGACAUUCACUUCUGGGCUCUGUCCCAGAGCUGGAAGGGAAGUUUCUCCUCCCUGUUUACAGACUCAGCAUGUGUUUCCUGGUGCCUUACUUUACCCAGGAAUCUUCAUUCCUUCUUGUAGCCUUAUAAGGGGCCACAGACUUGAAGACAGUUUCUUUCCAAGAACAUUACAACCCCAGCCCCAGAGGGUCAAAUUCUGUUCUUUACUGAGCCUGGGAAGCCUCUUAUCAUCUCUAGAUUACCUGAGGGGCACCCUUUUUAACUUUGACCUCAGAUUCUAUUUUAUUGAAUUAAAAUUGUUUAUUUAGUAACUUUACACUUUACAGCAUAGAGAAGGUUUUGCAUAAAGUUUUGUUUUGCCUUAUUGACCAGGAGUCCUGCACUCACUUUUCUG